rnacentral:misc_RNA from 1 species
GAGAGAGAGUGAGAGAGAGUGAGAGAGCUUAUUUUAAUUUUGCAUUUUUGGCAGGGCCAUACUUUAUAAUUAAUUCUAGGCCAGACAUUUAUAGCAAUAUACAUCACAAGUAUCAAGACUAAAGCUGAUUUUGAGUUCACAAAACAAAACUCCUCCCUAUAAGUGGUAACUGCAUUUUCUAGCAAGAAAGAAUCAAAUAGAACUUUGAGCCAUAUUUGCACCCAUUUACAUCCUUUUUAACAUUAUAGGAACAUAAAGUCAUAAAACAAGAAAGGAAAGGAAAGCCAUCAGAUUCAACUUCCAUGAAAAUCAGAAUCACAACUCAUUCCAUAUUCCAUGUCAAACCAUCGGCUAAUUCUAAAAUAUCAAGUUUCUCCUCCUGUUUCACAAGAUGAACUUAUAGUCAACAAAUAAAACAUGCAACUAAGAGACCAAACACUCAUCCACGUGUACAUCUAAAUGCUGAUUGAAAUUCCAAAGCUGGAUUAGAAAUAAUUAGUCAAAUUGCUAGGUUUAACUGUAACCUACUGAUAAUGCCAUUAAAAUGGAAAACAAAAGAGAUUGCUUAAAAUGCAAUGCAGCACCAUAUUUCUUGACAACUUUAAACAACAUAAAAGAAAAACAAGUGAGAAUUAAAGUCCCACUAUUCAUUCCAUAAUUUCUCAAAGGCAUAAAGUUCAAAUUAGCCCCCAAAAUUGUUCAGAGUGUCCAAUUAAACUCAAUAACUUUAUGGUAAAGUUAAUCCUAUCUCUCAUUGUUUACGUCAAUUGAGUCCAAUCUCAUUAAAAAUAUAAUAAUAAUAAAUUUUUAUAAUUUUAAAAUUUUAAUUAUCUCAAAAAAUUUUAUAUCUAUAUAUAUAUAAAUCAAGAUUCAAAAACAUAAACCCAGAAUCAACGAAUCCAAACGCUAUAGGAAAUCAACAAACAAUUAAGAGCACUAAAAAUCAUCAAAAGAUUGAGGAAGCAAAACCAUAAGCCAAAUAAUCGCAUAGUGCGUUGUCAUGAUUGAGGAAAGAAAAAAAAAAUAAAGGGAAAAAAAAUCAUUAAAAGGUAACUGAGCAAGUAAGUGAUGAGGAGAAAGAGGUUGAAGCAAUUGAGUAGGCUUGCAUCUCAACUGAGUCUCCUUCAAGAUUUCUGAGUUUGGUAAGUGGAAGCAACUCUUGAUAAACAAAAUGGGUCCAGGUCCUAUCCAAUUUUUUUUACUUUUUUUAAAAUAAUUAGAAUUUAGAAAAAAUAAUAUAUAUAUA